ACUAUCAUUUUAGAAACCACCCUGUAACACUAAAGCCCUGAACCUCAGACCACAUUUGCCCUUGAAUUUUCCUUCUUUAUGAACAGUUUGCUUCUUACUCACGAAAAUAUUUAUAUUGACUUUUUGGUAAAAAUUUGUGUGCAGCGACUGGCGCCAGAAGUGGGAUUUGGAAAAGACUCCGGGUUCCUCAGUUACUACAGUGAGUAACUGAGUGCUGUACGUGUGGAGUCCGUAGUACUCACUGCUUCCUUGCUGAUCCUGGAGUUCCAGGUGAUCUCUCCCAAAUCCAAGCUCCAUUCCCUGUGUGGUGACCUCUGCAACUGACUGAGCAACUUCCUUGCUUUGUUGAGUCCAGUAGAAGACAGCGUCCACUGGCUGAAAAGAUUCCUUGUGCACAAAUUGCUCCAGGAAAUCUUGAUUUGGCUAUGCUCUUGUUUAAUGAGCCUGGAGAAGUCGAUUUGUUAAUCGUGGCGACGCUGUCUGCCUGUGGAGAUACCUUUAGGUGGAACAAAUACCGGUUUGGUUUAGUCGUUGCAGCCGUCUCUCAGAUCGACCUCCUCUGGGACUGCGGGUAAGAAGACCGGAUUAUCGUAGGCGGCACGAUUUAGACCUACUUUCUUUCGGUUUAGAACUUUGGCUUGAAAACUAUCCUCUUUAUGCUUUUAACACAUUAUACUUAUUUUUCAGGUUCAUUUCGGGUUUUUUUUUUUUCUUUUUUGUCUGUUUCCGCUUUGAUUUGAUCAGGGGGGCGGCGGGUUCUAGGUAUCCUCACCACCUUAUCUGUUUCGUUGUGUCCUCUGAUUAGUUAGCGCUCAGCUUCCCCUUGUCCCUGGCCCCGCCCACCAGCCCAGGGGGGCAUAAGUACCCGGGCUGUAGGAGCGCUGUCGGCUUUGCCAGUUUAAUCUGUGCAAAGCUCAAGACCUGAUCUGAGGCCUCCUUGGUGAAACAGCAUUUUCUUGGCUGGGUGAAAAAAAAUCACAUGAAAAAAAGAUAAAAUUAAAAAUUAAAAAAUGAAUAUCACAUGGACUUGUUUAUUUUUUGUCACAUUCAACAAGUCGAUAUACCCUGUGGAAAAGCGACUUCUAAAAAACAAAGUGAGAGAGACAAGAGAAAAACGACUUCUUUGUCCUACCACUUAUGUGAUAUCCAGAUUUAACUUUACAUUUGCCACCUCGCUGAAAAUCGUUGUAUACUAUUGAACUCCGUAUCUUUCUGUUAAAGUCAUUUAAAAAAUCAUAUAAUAUCGUGUAUUUCCUUCAAACAUUCAAGACGUUGGUAUACACUGCAAAAAAACGACUUUUAGCAAAAAAGAAUUAUAAAUAAAAAAUUAAAUUAAAUUAUAAAGGUGAGUGAAAAAAAAAAAAACAAAAACGUCUUUUUCCUAGCCAGUUCUGAGAAAUGAUAAUUAUGUAAUUGCCACGACUCUGGAACCUGUUGUAUAUGUAUGAACUUGGAAAUUUCUGCCAAUAAUGUAAAAAAAAAUCAUAUCAAAAAAACAGAAAAUAAAUGAAACUAUAAAUAAUAAAAAUAAAUAAGUAAAAUAAAUAUUGCAUGAACUUGUUUAUUUUUUCUCACAUUCAACAAGUCGGUAUACACUGUGGAAAAACGACUUUCAGCAAAAAAAGAAUUAUAAAUAAAAAAUUAAAUUAAAGUAUAAAGGAGAGAGAGUGAAAAAAAAACCAAAAACGUCUUUUUCCUAGCCAGUUCUGUGAAAUCAUGAUUAAAUUAUGUGAUUGCCACGUCUCUGGAACCUGUUGUAUAUGUGUGAACUUGGAUAUUUCUGCCAAUAAUGUAAAAAAAAAUCAUAUCAAAAAAACAGAAAAUAAAUGAAAUUAUAAAUAAUAAAAAUAAAUAAGUAAAAUAAAUAUUGAAUGAACUUGUUUAUUUUUUCUCACAUUCAACAAGUCGGUAUACACUGUGGAAAAACGACUUUGUGUAAAAAAAGAAUUAUAAAUAAAAAAUUAAAUUAAAUUAUAAAGGAGAGAGUGUGAAAAAAAAACCAAAAACGUCUUUUUCCUAGCCAGUUCUGUGAAAUCAUGAUUAAAUUAUGUAAUUGCCACGUCUCUGGAACCUGUUGUAUAUGUGUGAACUUGGAAAUUUCUGCCAAUAAUGUCAAAAAAUCAUAUCAAAAAAACAGAAAAUAAAUGAAAUUAUAAAUAAUAAAAAUAAAUAAGUAAAAUAAA